rnacentral:rRNA from 1 species
GACAGAGGGGGCAAGCGUUGCUCGGAAUUACUGGGCGUAAAGGGCGCGUAGGCGGGAUGGCAAGUCGGUCGUGAAAUCCUUCGGCUCAACCGAAGAACGUCGGCCGAUACUGCCGUUCUUGAGGGAUGCAGAGGAGAUUGGAAUUCCCGGUGUAGCGGUGAAAUGUGUAGAGAUCGGGAGGAACACCGGUAGCGAAGGCGGGUCUCUGGGCAUCUCCUGACGCUGAGGCGCGAAAGCGUGGGGAGCGAACAGG